AUUCGCGGCCUAUCAGCUUGUUGGUGAGGUAACGGCUCACCAAGGCAUCGACGGGUAGCUGGUCUGAGAGGACGAUCAGCCACACUGGAACUGAGACACGGUCCAGACUCCUACGGGAGGCAGCAGCAGGGAAUAUUGCACAAUGGGCGAAAGCCUGAUGCAGCAACGCCGCGUGAGGGAUGACGGCCUUCGGGUUGUAAACCUCUUUCAGGAGGGAAGAAAUUGACGGUACCUCCAAAAGAAGCCCCGGCUAACUACGUGCCAGCAGCCGCGGUAAUACGUAGGGGGCGAGCGUUGUCCGGAUUUAUUGGGCGUAAAGAGCUCGUAGGCGGCUCAGUAAGUCGGCUGUGAAAGUCCGAGGCUCAACCUCGGAACUGCAGUCGAUACUGCUGUGGCUAGAGUCAGGUAGAGGAGAAUGGAAUUCCCGGUGUAGCGGUGGAAUGCGCAGAUAUCGGGAGGAACACCAGUAGCGAAGGCGGUUCUCUGGGCCUGUACUGACGCUGAGGAGCGAAAGCGUGGGGAGCAAACAGGAUUAGAUACCCUGGUAGUCCACGCCGUAAACGUUGGGUACUAGGUGUGGCGAUCGGACUAACGAUUGCCGUGCCGAAGCUAACGCAUUAAGUACCCCGCCUGGGGAGUACGGAAUCGUCGACCCGCCGGGCCCU
rnacentral:rRNA from 1 species